AUGAGCAGGGCGACACUGCGCGAAAAAAAACAACAAAUUUAACUUAAACACGAGGGAAGAGGACGCCACUGGUUAGCUUCAGCUUCAGCUUUCAGGGACUAAUUAAGCCGCACACACCCCGUGUCGUUAACUCUGUGUGGUCGACACACAUAAGCAGGUGGCAGAUUUAUUAUUACUGCUAUUAUUAUUUUGAAGCUCAUUGUCUGUUUGGGAAGUCCGGGAGCACGCGAAUCUCAGGCGUGAGAGAGAGAGAGAGAGAGAGAGAGAGAGAGAGAGGGAGGGUGGAUGGAUGGAUAGGUCUCGUGCGGUUCAGGGAAGACAGACAAAAACAGGACCUAAUUGAAAGCAGGGGAUCAAGGGUGAAGAAGCAGCCUUGGUUUUUGUGUAGCAAUUGCAGAGGUAACUUAAUAAGAAGAGGAGCAGUGCAUUGAGGAGGAAACCCAGAGAAUGUGUGAGCUGUCAGGGGCGAGCGCGAGCCUGAGCACGAGCAUGAGGGCAGGCUACUCGAGCAUGGAGGAGGAGAAGUCAGUUCUGAGGAGCGCUGCAGCACAGAAAGCUUUUAGUGCGGUGCUUUAUUAUUAAAGAGGCUUAAGAGCGUCCAGCGAAAGAACGAGCAGGCAGGCAGGCAAGGCAGGUCGGCCUCCACACCGCGGACUCCAGCCCUCCAGUGAGAAACUAGCCAAAUUCACACGUAGUUUCUGUAUGUUUAGUGUGCGUGUGUGUAUGUCUAUGUGUGUGUGUGUUCGUUAGCACGCACACACACUCCAUACACAACGAAAGCCAGCCAGAGCCCAGAGCGAGUGAGCUCCUCCUCCCCCCUCCCCUCUCUGUUCUCUCUCUCCUCCCCCCCUCCCCGUCCUCCUCUAUGCUCAGUUCGGUGUGUGUCUCCUCUUUCAAAGGGCGCAAGGGUGGGAACAAGUCGUCCAACAAAGCAUGUUACAGCGCCGACAUGACUUGUCCGUCAGACAACGAAAAGAUCGUGAUCAACUGCGGGGGGAUUCGACACGAGACGUACCGCAGCACGCUAAAAACGCUGCCCGGCACGCGUCUGUCGUGGCUGACGGAGCCGGAUGCCUUCAGCAACUUCGACUACGAUCCGAAGUCGGACGAGUUCUUCUUCGACCGGCACCCCAACACCUUUGCGUUCAUACUCAAUUACUAUAGAACAGGCAAGCUGCACUGCCCUAACGAUGUGUGCGGACCGCUUUUUGAAGAAGAGCUCGCCUUCUGGGGCAUUGAUGAGACGGACGUGGAAGCCUGCUGCUGGAUGAACUACCGGCAGCACCGGGACGCUGAGGAGGCCCUGGAUAGCUUUGAGACACCCGAACCUGACCCACCCGAGGACGACCCGGCACUCACCGGCGGCGCUGAUGGUGACCUGAAGCGCCUCUGCCUGCAGGAGGACGGCCGCAAGCCCAGCUGGUGGAGCGUCUGGCGGCCGCGCAUUUGGGCGCUUUUCGAGGAUCCAUACUCGUCCAAAUACGCCCGGUAUGUGGCUUUUGGGUCACUACUCUUCAUCCUCAUCUCCAUCUCCACGUUCUGCUUGGAAACGCAUGAGGCCUUCAACACCAUCUAUAACAAGACUGAGAACGUGACAGUGGGCAAUGUGACACGGGAAGAGGUGUCGUUCGAGGUGGUGACGGACAGUUGGCUGACCUAUGUUGAGGGCGUCUGUGUGGUGUGGUUCACCAUUGAGGUGUUCACCCGCGUUAUCUUCUGCCCAGACAAGGCCGAGUUCUUUAAGAGCGCGCUGAACAUCAUCGACUUCGUGGCCAUUCUGCCCUUCUACCUGGAGGUGGCACUGAGCGGCCUGUCCUCCAAAGCGGCCAAGGACGUCCUGGGCUUCCUGAGGGUGGUGCGAUUUGUCCGAAUCCUCCGAAUCUUCAAACUGACCCGCCAUUUCGUGGGCCUGCGGGUUUUGGGCCACACGCUUCGGGCCAGCACCAACGAGUUCUUGCUGCUCAUCAUCUUCCUUGCCCUGGGAGUCCUCAUCUUCGCCACUAUGAUCUACUAUGCUGAACGUAUUGGUGCGGACCCCGAGGACCCCACGGCCAGUGCCCACACGGCCUUCAAAAACAUCCCCAUCGGCUUCUGGUGGGCUGUGGUCACCAUGACGACACUAGGCUAUGGGGACAUGUACCCGGAAACGUGGUCAGGUAUGUUAGUGGGUGCUCUGUGUGCUCUGGCUGGCGUGCUGACCAUCGCCAUGCCUGUGCCAGUCAUCGUCAACAACUUCGGCAUGUACUACUCACUGGCUAUGGCCAAGCAGAAGCUGCCCAAGAAGAAGAACAAGCACAUCCCUCGUGCGCCGCAGCCCGGCUCACCCAACUACUGCAAGCCUGAUGCUCUGGCCAUGGCCACCGCCUCGCCGCACAGGAUCAUGGGUAACGUGCUAGGCGGUAUGGUGGGCUCGGGCAGCAUGGGAGGAGACUGCCCCUUAGCGCAGGAAGAGAUCAUCGAGAUCAACAGAGCAGGUGUGUGGGACUCAAAGCAGAAUGGUGAUGCCGCUAACGCCGCCCUGGCUAAUGAAGACUGCCCCACAAUAGACCAGGUGCUGGGUCCGGAUGACAGGAGUCCAGCCACUGGUGGGCUGGGCUCCGGGACAGGGCGCGAGCGUUACCCGCACGACCGCGCGUGCUUUCUCCUCAGUACCGGAGAGUUCCGCACCACAGACAGCAACGUCAGGAAAGAAUCUGCAGCUGCCUCCCUCCCAGGAGAGGAGUGGCUGAAGCCGGAGGUGCCUCUGCUACAGCAGGACCUCAAUGCAAACUCCGCCUCCUCCUGGAUCAAACCAUAGCGGCACAGAGGAGGGAACGUUGAAUGGAUGCUGGACUGACAGCGGUCAGUAGGAGAAGGAAAAAAGAGGGGAUCGCUAAAUGCAAAUCUACCGAAAAUGCAAUUUUAAAGAGAAAAAAGUGAAAGAAAAGAAGGGAAAGUGAGUGAGAGAGAGAGAGAGAGAGAGAGAGAGAGAGAUGUAUUUUGAUCACAUUGAUCUGUUGCACAUCUGUGACUGUGGUGCUCAGAUCCAAGACUGUGUCCACACUCUUUAGUGAAACCUUCACUGUAAUGGCAGCUUACGAAGCUUUUGUUUUUGUUUUUGUUUUUGUUUAUCCAUUGAAAAGAAUGUGAAGAUAACAAGAAAUGACAAUACUGAAAAUGUAUUGAACAAUGUAGAUGCCGGUAGCAUUACUCACUUUGUGGUUGUAAAGACAUUUUUUUGGUCAUCAUGUAACCGAAACCUUUUAUAUGCUCUAGUUAAUCAUUGAUGCCAUUUCUGGUCACCUUAUCCACUGUUACAUAUGUGAACUGAGGUCUACAAAGCCAUCCUGUUGGAUUAUUUUUGUAUUUAUGAAUAUUUUAGUCAUUACGCUGAUAGAAUAUGUAUAGAGAAGGGUUUAUGUUGUUUUCCGUUCACCGUUGUCACAUGUCCCAACCUGUUACGUUAAGUCCUUUCCCCUGUCAUAAACGAAGAAACAGAGAGCGGAAUGAGGGUGAAAAAGUUGUUUUGUUGCGCUCCAAGCACAAACAUGGAGAGUAUAAGUACUGCUUCAGGAAUGAAUAACAGUGUAUAUACAUGAACUAUAAUGUCACCGAAGGCAAAGGCCCACUGCACUGAACAUUGACUCAGGCCAUAGAUCCACAUUUGAAAUGCCCCAAUGUAGCUGUAUGUGAUGCAGGUGGACCACAGACUUAUUACAGUGAAGGACUCAGACCAUUGUGAUCACCAGAAUAAGACAACUGAGCAAUAAAAACCAAAAAAACAGCAGUCCUGGCCCUUACUGAAUCAAUUAAACAGUUGUGUCCAGCUAAUUGAGAAUCAAUUCAGGUCAAACCUUAUGUUUAAUUGUCAUCUGUGCAUUUGUAGUUUCUUUUUUAAUGCAAGUACUUUUAGAAGGAUAUGCACAUUCUUGAACUUCUGAUAGAGUAAAAGGGUAUUCCACAUUUUUCAAAAUGUCUACAGAACUUAUUGAGAUGUAAACAGUAAUUCAGAGUUUUCCAAACAUCACACUGAACAGUUAAGAUCCUAACACGAAAAAGCUUUUGGGAAACUGGGUCCAGAGCAGUUUGAUAUGAGAUGGUUCAUUGCGAAGAAGCCUAUUGACUCAGAUUUCUUUACAGUGGUGGUGAUAGGAACCAGGGGGUCACAAUGUCAGUUAGAGUUUUAUAUGUAAUGUUGAUGAUAAAAUAGUGGUCAGUCUUAAAAAAAUAAGUUUUCUUUGGGGACUGUUUACAUUACAACAAUCUACAUGUACCUCUCCACUUCGAACAGGUAUAUUCGAAUAUGGUUUAGGCCAAAACUUUCUCAAAACUAGUGUAAAACCAUGUUCCAGAUAUCAGGCAGUGUGUUCAUAGCAAAUUUAGGUUUCUGUGAGGGAGCUCUUAGAGUCAUUAAACUCCUCAGACGUCUGGUUCCCAUCACUACCACUGUGAAUUUUCUCAAGAGCAUUUUACAUCACACCACGCUGAAUGACUUUGCUUACACGCCAACCAUUUCAUCAUGCAGACAUUUGAAAAAUGAAUGGAAUUCCCAUUUAAGAGUAGUUCAGAAUGUUGAGGAAAAAUUGAGGGAAGAAAGAAAGAGUAACGAUGAAAGAAGGAAAUGCAUAGUAGUGUAGCCAAUCACAUCCCUGCCCUUACGGUUGAGCUCACUCCCCAUAUCAGUCCUCUCUGUUUCUCAUCCACUUCAUCUUCCUGUUCCCGUCCCCUUCAUUGCUUUGUGCGUUCUGCGUAAGAGGCUGAUAACUCAGGCCUACAUCAGGUCUCAAUGAUGUGUGUACAGUUUUAAAGAAUGACUUUGUACUUCAUGAUUGCAUGUUUUUUCCCUUUGCGAGCAAUAAGGAAAAUGUCUAUAUGAUCCUUAAGAAGUAUGUUUUGAUAAGCAAACUGAUUUUAUCUAAAGCUUUAUGUAUGUGUAUAUUCAUAUGGGUGUGUACAUAUGGAUGUAUGAAUAUUCAUAUGCACAUACAUAUUACUGAUUUGCAUGUAUGAGGUUUUUUGAAAACAAACAUACAAAAAACAAGAUUGGUGUUUUGUUACCAAUCUAACUCAACUGCUGAAGGGGUGGGGCUUAGUUCUGCAUGCUAAGAUGCUAUUGGGUGGCAGAGACCAUUGUAACUGUAAAAAGGGGGGGGCUUGUUUUUAUUGGGGCUAAAAAAGGUUUUAUUGGGGUAUGAUUUAAUUCUGUAAACAUUUACAGCUGUUUUAUUUUCCUUUUUUUCUCUGUUUGUACGCAGUGGUCUUGUAAUCAUUUCAUGAUUUAUUCCUUUUUUUUCAUCUUUUCACAGAGAACUAUUCUGAAAGCCCAGUGCUUAUCAGAUAUAUGCAAAAAGAAGCUGUAACUGUGAACUAAUCUAGAACAGAAAACUCCACUCGUCCUCCUUUCACGUAUGCUUUCCCAAACCAACACCCGACCCCCAAUUGCUGUAACAGUGGUUGCUUCCUCACCAACUUUUCCACCCUUCUCUCCAGUCUCACUGUUCAUCAUUGUUUCCUGUUAUCCCUCCACCUGUUUCAUCCCACCCACUUCUGUUCUUUCUACAGUACGUGGAAGAGAUGAAUUUACAUGUGCGUACCUGGUUCAUCUUUUAUCCAUGUUAGUGGGGGGCAGCUCCCCCUCUUUGGAUACUAGUAGCAUUUAACGAGGGGUAAAUUGAUGUAGCAAAUGCUAUUUUAGAUUAGCAGCUAAAUGGUCACUUUAGUGGAGUAAGAUGAGGUUGCCUGUCUUGAAUGUUUACCUGUCCUGAGGUCACUUAGACUGUCUUAAGGAUCAUUUAAUCACUCAGUUUGAGAUUGGAGUCUCUGAUCUUUACUACCAGAGAUGUCUAACAGUCUAUCGCGUGUUCUCUAAUACCCAGAGGACACUAUCGUAGCUGCCGCUAGAAGUUAAAUCUGUUCUGAGGGGGAGAGUAAAUGAUAACGAUGAUGCUACUACUGCCUUCAGCAGCGCAUGUUGCCUCGCAUACUACUGGAAUGCUUAGUGCUGCAUCCUUGUGCAUCUUGUGAUUUUUUUCUAUAUGCAUAUAGUAGCUAUAUUUCCCAGGGGUAGAGCUAGGCCAAGCGGAGCAGGAGGAAACAACUCUUCAUCCCGUCACAGGAAAGAGGAGGGCUGCGGCUGUGGGUUUGGUUUAUGUAGCUGCUAGUAGAGAACGAUGUGCCUAACUGGUCGCUACAUAGAGCCCAUAUAGGGCAGGUGAAAUCACGAAUGUAGUCAAUAAAUCUAAUAUUUCUUAUUAUGGGAUUGUUGUGGGAAUAUUAUAAGAUUCUUCUGGCUGUUUCUAAGUUUCUGUGUCAUAAGUGAUUUAAUUCAGUGAAAGUGUUGAGAUUGUAUUGCCAGAUAUGUUUUCUGAAAACAGGUUACAUGCAUUUUUUUCCAGGAAAAAAAGCUAACUUAUCUGCGUUCAUUCUUGAAGCUAGCCAGGAUAUAUGCAUUAUUUCCAGAAAAAAGCUAAUUUAUCUGCAUUUAUUCUUGCUUGUAUUAAUUCUUGAAGCAAGCAAAAUUAUCUGUAUUUGUCCUUGAAAUACGCAGUAUUAUCUGCAUUCAUUCUUGACAGGCUAAAUUACCUGCAUUAUUUCUUGAAAGCAGCUUUCAAGAUGUUUCCCAUUGGUGUAAUUCUACAAGGCAGCAUUACUUAAAACAAGCAAAAAAACAUUGCGUAGUCUUCUGAUUUGCUCACAAUGAGAAAUAUUUGUAAUAUUGACUAAAUGUAGGAUGAUUUCACUCAAAAAAGGAUUUUUGCAGUGCAGAACCUCUUUAGUCUUUAGAGGAACACCGAACAAAACAGGGAGCAUAGUCCGGGUUUGAACUCCAUUACCCAUACACCUCUCUGUCUCUUGUCAACCUAUAUUCCUCCCCUGUCACAACUCAGGUAUAUCUCUCUCUCUCUCCGUGGGUCUUCCAAAAAGAUGUCAUUCAGAAUGAGAGAGAGUGAGAGAAAGGGAGGAAACGAUGAAAGAAAAGAUGGGUUUUCUGUCUCAGCAUGUGCACUUGGAAAUAUGAAUGUGAUCUAUUUUUAUUUUUUAUUUUUUAUUUUUUUUGUCCUCAUCACCAAAACAGAUCUUCCUUUUGUCCAUGGUGUCCUUGUGCUUUUUAUUUCCUCGUCCUCUGUGACCAUUCUAUCUUCAUUUCCUCACAGUCAGAUCUACAGUCAUUUUAUUUUAUUUUUGUGUUAUUGAUUUUAUUGAUUUUUUUUAAUUUUUUUUAUUUGUCAAAUCUCUAUACAACUGCUUCCAAAUGUCCUGGAUAAGAAUAUAAAAAAAAAGAAAGAUUUGUCAGAACUUGGAACUAUGAUGUGGAUUACAAGCAUCACACAUGCACGCGGAAACAGGACUCGAGAUGAAAGAGUGAAAGACAGACGGACAGAUUGUAUGUGUGGGGAAAACGAGUGUGUGUUGAAAGAGGAUUGUCGACAGAGAGGAAGAAAGACCCUCUCCUCCCCCUUCGAGAAAUGGAGGACAGUUUGGGGAAGAAAGAAACGAAAGGAAAGAAAAAGAGAGGAGGAAGGAAGGAAGGAAGCUGCUCGCUUCUCAGUUGCUGAGUUUCUGAACUGACUUCUUUCUCCCUAAAGAAGACCCCCCCCAAUGUCCCCACUCACACAGCAUUGCAACUCCAGAGGCCACUUCCAGAGUCACCAAGAGAACCCACAGGGAAAAGAGAGAGAGAGAGAGAAAGAAGAAGUGAAAAAGGAGAUAAGUGUGGUGCUCGUAAGACUUCAUGAAAAAGCAAGAUUGCUCUCCAUUCAUAGAUGCUACCUCGGACUGGGUCGACCCAAGCACAGCCGUGUUAAUGCCCGGAGGAUGUGGGACUUUACACAGUCUUCCAAACUGGAUCGUCGUUUCAGUCCAGCUGUGCUUAUCUGCAUGAAUAUCACUCCACAUUACGUUUCAGCAAACCUGCCCAGCCUUUGUGACUGAGAUUUAACUGGGCAGAAGAUGAUUUUAAGUGGACCACUCUAGGAAACCUAUUGUUUUUUUGUUUUUUUUAAGUUGACUCAUUGGCUCCCUUCGCAUCUAAGCUUACCAUGCAAGCUAAGGCCAGUACAGCUGCAAAAAUUUUCUGGAUAAAGAAUUGCGUGGAAAGAUUCCCAUACUUGCUGUUUAGAAGGCCAUAGUUAAGUGGCUGGCAUGAUGGUGGUCCACCUGGAUGGACCCUCCUCUUUCAUCUCAGACAUCCUGGAUUCCACUUGCACUGCACACAAGGACAGAUAAACUUCCAUUAAAAAAAAAAGCUUGUCUGAGGGGUGAGCUCAGUACGUCUCCAGACCCUCAGACGUGUGACUUCGAGCACUACAUGGGAAAGAACCUCAGCCUCUCUUCCAGUCUUUCUUCUCGCUCUUUCUCUUCCUCUCUUCCCACACCAAUGUCCCUGCACAUCUCAGCGUUUCUCCUCCUCUGUAGAUGAACUGCAUGGCAUGAACGAAAUACAACAUAAAAUAAAUAAAAUCAGAGAGAGGAGAGUAGAGAACACAAAAGUUAGGAUGGAGAAACUUGAGAUGUUUCUAAAGGGCCGCUCCUGUCGUACAGAAGAGGGAACACUGGGCAAAACAGCGGCCUGUUGGGGUCGACGGGACAAGCUUUCUGCAUCAGGGCAACAAACAUGGAACCUACAGAAGGAUGGAGGGGGUUUUCAAGAAGGCAGGGUGAACUUUGAACUAAACACUUUAAAGAAAAGGAAAAAAAAGAAUGAAAAAUUUAAAAUGCAUUUUUCUGACUUUGUUUACCAGCAUGACUAAACUGCAUGACUCAACUUCUGCAAGCCCCAAAUCCCCCAAAAAAGAGGGCUUGGAAUUACUAAAGAGCAAAAUCAUGGGGAAACAAUACAGAUUUAUGUUAUAUGCAAGUAAAUUUAGGGAAAAAAUGUAUUUAAAAAAGAAAAGAUGUUCUAUAUUUUUUGUUUUUUUAAUACAAAAAAAAAAUAUAUAUAUAUAUGAUUGCAGAUACAGUCAGAACUAUGCUUUAUUAGAUGUAAGAUACCCCAAACGAAAUCUUAGAUGAUCAGCGAGAUUAAUCUCCAUUUCAACUCCAGUUGUUUCUUCUCUAUAACUCCUGCCUGCUCCAGCUCUCCUGACUCUUUGUUCUCCUGCUGACGCCUGCAGUCCGCUCUGGACGUUACAUCCUCCUGUGACCAGUCUGCGUCUUUGCUGAUGUCAGCAGUCGCAGCACAACUGCUCUGGAGGCCUAAUGCUCAUGGGUGUGGUGCAUGAGGGUCUUGGGUGGCUGCUUCAUCCUGGAGAUCUGAGAUCUUGAAGACGAUGUUUAGUACUUUCUUGGUUUGGGCUGUAUAUCAUUGUGUUCUAUCUGUAUGUGGUGAGGCCACAGGGGAAAUUGACUUUUGAAUGUUUUGUUUGUCCAUAAGUCACAGUUUCUUUUUUCUUUUUCAUUCAGCUAUUGGUAGUACAAAUGGUGAAGCAGACACCCAGGAGUUCUCAGGAGAGCACAUGGAUAGCAGCAGUAUAAUAAUACAGUAACAUAGAUGGUAGCAGCUGCUGGCGCGUAAGAGCGAUGCUAUUUUAAUAUCACUAACCCAAACCCAGUUUUAAGUCAUGUUGAUCUUAAUCGCUUAAGCUUUUUGAACGCAUAGAUCAGGCUUUUGGCAGGCCCAUAAAUAGAGGUUAUAUAUGAUCUUCUGAACCAAAUGUAGUUGGAAGUUAGCAUUGCUGUUUUCAUUUGUCUCUUCCUUAGUUUGAUAAGGUAAAUUACCAACAUAUCGGUGCACUCAGAGCAGUCCGCAUGCAAGAAUGGUCACUAAAUUCUCAAAUGCACCUUAGUGGAUUGAGUCGAAAGAAAAAACGAAGGUGCUUUUCAAGUCUUCCUUAGCAGCUCCUUGGUUUGAUGCCAAGAUCCUCCCAGAGGGGGAUGGAUCAUGUGUAAUGGAUACUGCUUAUUCAAUAUAUGUGGCUCAAUAGGUCAAAGAAUGAAAGUCACUGGAGUCUCACUCCAGCUUUUAUUGUUGUACCACAGGAACACAACCAUGUAGGUCUAAAUCAGUGUUUUGAGGUUUGACUUCAAGAACUGAUGCAUGCUUUUCAUCUCUAUGCGUCAACAGGACUAGGCCUGGAUGGGAACUUGAGUAAAAACUGAACCUAUGCAAGACUGUUGCAAGACAUGUCACUCACACAGGCAGCAUACUCAGGCCAGUUAGCUUAUGGUUGUGCAUUUGAGUGGUCCGACUGAGGGGCAGAUAAAGUUCAGAACACAGGCAACUACAUCCCUGUGGUUUGGAUAGGCAAGAAGAACCUCUAGGUCAAUCCAAAAAGGGCUUCACAAACCAGAGAGGCCGUUGCUGCUCCUUAAACAAAGCAGUAGGUCAGCAGAGCCUGGAACGCUGGGGGCAGCUGAGCAGGAGUCCACCGUUUAGCUAUUUUCUCUCCUCCUCUGUUCUUCAGGCCUUUUAUAGGCCUCCCACUUUCAUUCUCCCUCUUGCUACAUGCAGGAAGGUGGCAGAGGAACCAGAGAGGAUGAUCAAAACUCAUGCUUUUAAAACAUUGAAGUGCAUAGCUAAAAGGUCAUCAGACAUUUCCUGAAACUGACCUGAGAACCAAGAAGUGAUACAGGGAUCGCUUCUUAUAGAGCAAUUUGUUGUCCACCGUUGUGGCGAGUGCUUCUUAGGAAGGUCAUCCUGUGGACAAAAGACCAAUUUUCGUUGACGCCAUUCAGUCGGAGCAAUAAUUAGGUGCGAUCCCACCCUGCUGUCCUUUUCCAUCUCAUUCACAAUAAGUGGGAAUAUCCAGCGUGCCUGAGAGAUUGUAUCUACGAAUAUUUCUUUGCGGCAUUGAGCCAUGUCGACGAGUCAAGCUUUGAGUGAGUGUACAUGUGUUUGUUCUCGUACGUGUGUGGCGGUCAGACCGAGCUGUCUGGUUCUUCUGCAGAUCGUGUUUAAUGUUUUGGAGGUGCAGAGUGAGACCACACCACCCCCCCAAGAUGAAUGACAGCUCAACACUCGCGUAACUUUUACUUGAAACCCAAAUAUCAGAACAUAUCAGAGAGGAUUAGAACAAAGCCAGAAUCAGUCUUCACUCUUUCUCUCUUACCUGUAUGCAUCUCUCUUCACCCCCCCCUCUCUCUCUCUAUGUCCCUCUGCUCCUUGUCCUUCUCUAUUUUUGAGAAAGAAGCUCUUUUGCAUCCCUUGUUCUUGUGUUUUUCUAUCAUAUUGUUUGAAGUUGAAAUAUACUGCAUGCAUGGGAUUAAAAAAAGAAGACUUUAACUUGUGAAUGGUCAGAAUGAGGUAACCAUCUUUUUCUCCUGGACCCUCUGUCUGUCGCUCACUUAGGAAUCCACACACACACAUACACACACAAAUAUGAGACAUUGCACUUUAAGGUUGGCAUUGCUCUGCAAUUUUUGAUUCUUUUGUGAUUCUGAAGUUGUUAAAGUGUCAUUUUUGGAUUAUUUAUAUUGGGAGAGUUCACUUCCAUUCCUCCGCACCUAAACUAUCUAUGCCAUUGCAGUUGGUAACAUCAUUUUUAGCGGCCCGGCCUGAUAAUCUGACCCUUACACCAAAUGACCAUCUAAUAAAACAAAAUAAGACAAAGAGAGAACAGAGAAAAGAAGAUGGUUACUAAAUCAAUGGAUGGUUUAUGCUAUUAAGACCGAUGCUGGACACAGUUUUAAUGUCAAUACAAAAAGAAAAAAAAAACCAA